CCGAGACUCGAAUCCGGGUCCUCCAGAGUGGAAAGCCGAAGCGUUUCCACGCGGCCAAUCCGGCCGACGAUAUUUAAUGUUUAACCGAUCAGCGAAUAAUGAUAGACGAUAUAAAGUUUAUUUUUAUGGAGAAAAUAAAUAGCAACGUGCCUGAUACGAGACCAAGAUCUUUACAAUUUACUGUAUAGAAAAAUGCAAAAUAAUUAAAAUAUAAAAAUCAUUAUUAGUGAGAGAUGCCGAAAAUUUUUACAAAUUAUAGAGGUAUUAAAUCGUUCUGGCAGAUAUAUAUAGAGAAAUGAUCUGAUGUCUCUUAUAAAUUCAAAAGACUAAAACGAUAAUGAACUGUAUAAAUUCGCAGCAUAGACAACAUUUCUUCAGAAAAGCACUUACAUCACAUUGUGAUGGCAGGUUGUCACAUUUCUUCAGAAAAGCAUUAUCUAACAUCAGCUUGUGAUGGCAGAAUUCAACGAAAUGCUAAACGCGCUAUUGAAUAUGAAUAUCUUACACGGGAUUUUGUUAGGUUACUAAAGGAAGGAGAGACGAAAUUCAAAUAUUCUAUGGCGAAUACCAACUUCGCACUGUCUCUUUCUCUACUUCUCACCAUAAACA
rnacentral:lncRNA from 1 species